AGAGUUUGAUCAUGGCUCAUAACGAACGCUGGCGGCGUGCUUAACACAUGCAAGUCGCGUGCGCAGUCUGUAGCAAUACAGGCGGGCGCACGGCGCACGGGUGCGUAACACGUGGGCAAUCUGCCCUCCGAUGGGGAAUAACCCCGCGAAAGCGGGGCUAAUACCGCAUAACAUUCCUUGAACCAUGGUUCGAGGAUUCA
rnacentral:rRNA from 1 species